UAAGAAAAUACUUCCAUUAAUUGAUGACUA
rnacentral:piRNA from 1 species